ACAGGGAUUGCCCUAGUAACGGCGAGUGAAGCGGCAACAGCUCAAAUUUGAAAUCUGGCGUCUUUGGCGUCCGAGUUGUAAUUUGCAGAGGGCGCUUUGGCGUUGGCAGCAGUCUAAGUUCCUUGGAACAGGACGUCACAGAGGGUGAGAAUCCCGUACGUGGUUGCUGGCCUUCGCCGUGUAAAGCCCCUUCGACGAGUCGAGUUGUUUGGGAAUGCAGCUCUAAAUGGGAGGUAAAUUUCUUCUAAAGCUAAAUACUGGCCAGAGACCGAUAGCGCACAAGUAGAGUGAUCGAAAGAUGAAAAGCACUUUGGAAAGAGAGUCAAACAGCACGUGAAAUUGUUAAAAGGGAAGCGCUUGCAGCCAGACUUGCCUGUAGUUGCUCAUCCGGACUUUUGUCCGGUGCACUCUUCUAUAGGCAGGCCAGCAUCAGUUUGGGCGGUUGGAUAAAGGUCUCUGUCAUGUACCUCUCUUCGGGGAGAACUUAUAGGGGAGACGACAUGCAACCAGCCUGGACUGAGGUCCGCGCAUUUGCUAGGAUGCUGGCGUAAUGGCUGUAAGCGGCCCGUCUUGAAACACGGACCAAGGAGUCUAACAUCUAUGCGAGUGUUUGGGUGUCAAGCCCGAACGCGUAAUGAAAGUGAACGGAGGUGGGAACCCCUCGGGGUGCACCAUCGACCGAUCCUGAUGUCUUCGGAUGGAUUUGAGUAAGAGCAUAGCUGUUGGGACCCGAAAGAUGGUGAACUAUGCUUGAAUAGGGUGAAGCCAGAGGAAACUCUGGUGGAGGCUCGCAGCGGUUCUGACGUGCAAAUCGAUCGUCAAAUUUGGGCAUAGGGGCGAAAGACUAAUCGAACUAUCUAGUAGCUGGUUCUGCGAAG
rnacentral:rRNA from 1 species